rnacentral:rRNA from 1 species
GAUGAACGCUGGCGGCGUGCCUAAUACAUGCAAGUCGAGCGAACAGACGAGGGGCUUGCUCCUCUGACGUUAGCGGCGGACGGGUGAGUAACACGUGGAUAACCUACCUAUAAGACUGGGAUAACUUCGGGAAACCGGAGCUAAUACCGGAUAAUAUAUUGAACCGCAUGGUUCAAUAGUGAAAGACGGUUUUGCUGUCACUUAUAGAUGGAUCCGCGCCGCAUUAGCUAGUUGGUAAGGUAACGGCUUACCAAGGCAACGAUGCGUAGCCGACCUGAGAGGGUGAUCGGCCACACUGGAACUGAGACACGGUCCAGACUCCUACGGGAGGCAGCAGUAGGGAAUCUUCCGCAAUGGGCGAAAGCCUGACGGAGCAACGCCGCGUGAGUGAUGAAGGUCUUCGGAUCGUAAAACUCUGUUAUUAGGGAAGAACAAAUGUGUAAGUAACUAUGCACGUCUUGAUGGUACCUAAUCAGAAAGCCACGGCUAACUACGUG